CCUACGGGUGGCAGCAGUGAGGAAUAUUGGUCAAUGGGCGAGAGCCUGAACCAGCCAAGUCGCGUGAGGGAAGACGGUCCUAUGGAUUGUAAACCUCUUUUGCCGGGGAGCAAAACGCGGUACGUGUCCCCGGAUGAGUGUACCUGAAGAAAAAGCAUCGGCUACCUCCGUGCCAGCAGCCGCGGUAAUACGGAGGAUGCGAGCGUUAUCCGGAUUUAUUGGGUUUAAGGGGUGCGCAGGCGGUCUUUUAAGUCAGCGGUCAAAGCCCGGGGCUCAACCCCGUCCCGCCGUUGAAACUGGCAGUCUCGAGUUGGAGAGAAGUAUGCGGAAGGCGCGGUGUAGCGGUGAAAUGCAUAGAUAUCGCGCAGAACUCCGAUUGCGAAGGCAGCAUGCCGGCGCCACACUGACGCUGAGGCACGAAAGCGUGGGUAUCGAACAGGAUUAGAUACCCUUGUAGUC
rnacentral:rRNA from 1 species